rnacentral:rRNA from 1 species
UACGUAGGGGGCAAGCGUUGUCCGGAAUCACUGGGCGUAAAGGGCGCGUAGGUGGCCUGGUAGGUAGGGGGUGAAAUCUCGAGGCUCAACUUCGAGGCUGCCUCCUAAACUGUCAGGCUUGAGCAGAGUAGAGGCAGGUGGAAUUCCCGGUGUAGCGGUGGAAUGCGUAGAGAUCGGGAAGAACAUCGGUGGCGAAGGCGGCCUGCUGGGCUCUUGCUGACACUGAGGCGCGACAGCGUGGGGAGCAAACAGG